AAGGAAGGAACACCAGGGAUACCGGUUACUGGGUAUAUAAUAGGUGACCAACCGAGACGUGAAUUGGUUUUUACUUCCAAAACACUCAUCAUCCUGAAGAAAGCUGGAAAAGCAGACUUGAUUUUUUUUAUUUUUUUUAUUUUUUAUUUUUUUUUAGGAUGGAUAUUCGACUCCACAAAGGGAAAUACGAAUCUUACUCGAUUGGAGAAGGACAGAAGGCUUCAACCAAAGAGCGCAUGAGAUAUAUUAUCUAUUACCGUCAGAACUUUUUUUAGGAUGGAUAUUCGACUCCACAAAGGGAAAUACGAAUCUUACUCGAUUGGAGAAGGACAGAAGGCUUCAACCAAAGAGCGCAUGAGAUAU
rnacentral:lncRNA from 1 species